CCUACGGGCGGCAGCAGUGAGGAAUAUUGGUCAAUGGGCGCGAGCCUGAACCAGCCAAGCAGCGUGAAGGAUGGCUGCCCUACGGGUUGUAAACUUCUUUUAUAAAGGAAUAAAGUGAGGUACGUGUGCCUUUUUGUAUGUCCUUUAUGAUUCAGGAUCGGCUAACUCCGUGCCAGCAGCCGCGGUAAUACGGAGGAUCCGAGCGUUAUCCGGAUUUAUUGGGUUUAAAGGGAGCGUAGGUGGGUUGUUAAGUCAGUUGUGAAAGUUUGCGGCUCAACCGUAAAAUUGCAAUUGAUACUGGCAGCCUUGAGGGCAGUAGAGGUAGGCGGAAUUCGUGGUGUAGCGGUGAAAUGCUUAGAUAUCACGAAGAACACCGAUUGCGAAGGCAGCCUACUAAACUGCCACUGACAUUGAGGCUCGAAAGUGUGGGUAGCAAACAGGAUUAGAUACCCGGGUAGUC
rnacentral:rRNA from 1 species